CUGUAAUAGUUUUAAUCCCAAAUUUGUAUUAUUCUAUUCCUAAUAUUUUACCCGAAGUCCGUAUAAAACAAUAUCACAUUAAUUUUUUUUCUUUUAUUAUUUGAAAUAAACAAUAUAUACCUUAGAGCACAAUAGGUUUAUGUGUUACAUAAACCUGUGUUAUGAGUAUACAUAUAAAUUAACAGGCUACACUUAAUGCGAGAAGUCAUCCACUAAUAACACUAGCUAUUAUUACAUUAAUAACUAACUAUUAUUAUUUGUAUGUAUUGUAGUUGAAUUAGUGAGGGGAUUAGCAAGAAGUUACAAAAGUUUAUUGAUGAAUCAACUGUACCAGUCGUUUCAUUCUUUCUGUGUAAUAAAUAUAAAACAUGUACAGGAAAAUAUUUUUAGCAUUUUGGCAAAGAUUUUAAGCAUCGGAAUCACAUUUAAAACGCCAUCAAUAUAAUAUCAAAACUAAGCUAUGUAUUUAAUAUAAUUUAUUAUAAAACAUAAUAAUAUUUGUAAUAGCAUCAGGUGUGCUAAAACAUUUUAUAAUUAUAAUAUUGAUAAAUAAAAAAAUCAACAAUAACGUCAAGAUUUAAGAAUAUGUAAUUCAAUCCUUUAUAAUGUAUCACUAAUAUUACUGUUAUUAAAACUAUAUUUUAAAACAAUGUAUUGUCUUCUUUAUAAAAUUAUAUAUAUCAUAUGUGUAUUGUUUCGUACGCUGUGUCUAUGGCAACCUAUGUGUUUUAGGCAGCUCGCUUUAAAUUAAUAAAGUUGUUAUAAAUUAUAA